ensembl:lncRNA
AGAUUCUAGAGUCUUGUUUCCAGGUUACUGACUCUUAAUGAUGACCUGGACUAGUUACUUAAGCUCUUGGGGCCCUGGUUUCCUCACCUGUAAAAUGAAGGUGAUGGACUGGUUGGAUUCUAGGGACCUUUAGAUCUAUGAACCUGUUAUCCUCUGGUAGAAUAAUCGUUAGGUAUUUUCCCAAUGGAAAAUCUCAGUGACCUGAAGUCCAGAAAUGUAGAGAUGAUAACUAGAAGGAAGAAAAACCCAUCUACUAAUUAUCACAGUGUUGCUGUCAUGAAUAGGCAGCCUCUUCUCUCCCUCUUCCUGUUAAUGGCCAGAAAUAUUCCAAGAAGAGAAGAGGUUGUACUGCCUUUUUGUGUAGCUGGUAGAAUUACCUAUUCAUUCAUUCAUUCACACAUUUCCCUGCUGGAAGGGUGGUCUGCCUGUUCCUAGUCUACUAUCUUCAUGUGACUCUCUUGAAUGGAUUCAUGGAAAGGUCAAGGGGAAGUAUUUGCAUACAACAUCCUUUGCUACAAAUGGAGAAGAGAAGAGAAGAGAAGAGAAGAGAAGAGAAGAGAAGAGAAGAGAAGAGAAGAGAAGAGAAGAGAAGAGAAGAGAAGAGAAGAGAAGAGAAGAGAAGAGAAGAGAAGAGAAGAGAAGAGAAGAGAAGAGAAGAGAAGAGAAGAGAAGAGAAGAGAAGGGACGGGACGGGACGGGGGAGGGGAGGGGAGGGGAGGGGAGGGGAGAGUAGAGGAGGGGAGGGGAGGGGAGAGGAGGGGAGGGGAGAGGAGAGGAGUGGAGAGGAGAGGAGGGGAGAGGAGACGAGAGGAGAGAUGUUUAGCUGACUUCUAAAUCAUGCCUUUAAGAGCCUUGCUGGUCUUUACAUCCCAGAAUUAUUGUUUUUUAUCAUUAACAUCAUUACUGUAAUGAUGAAAUUAAUAGUUGUCCUAGGAUGGAGAUUAAGGACUAUUGAACAGUGAUAGAGUUACCAUAUGUCUCUUCAGAUCUAAAUAUUUAAUGAUCAGGUUCUUUCAAAGUGAAUAAUCUUCCAGAAAUAUUUCAAUCUUGAAUAAUCUUCAAGAAAUACCAAGCUCACAACUGAAUUCAACAAAACACUAAUUUGUAAUCAGAAUGUCUAUUUAUAAUAGGAGUUAUGCAUUAAAAUUGUCUAUCUAAGAGAUCUCAUAACUAAUACAUAUAGUAAACUCUGUCAAAUUUACAAAAAUAAGUGCCAUCCCCAAUUGUUAAAGGGGCAAGAGAUAUGAAAAGAUAAUUUUCAGAUGAAGAGAUUAAAGCCAUAUAUUUGUAUACAAAGAAAUACUCCAGAUCACUACUGAUUAGAGAUCAAGCCAAAACAAUUCUGAGAUAUCACCUCAUACCCACCAGAAUAGCUAAAAAGCCAAAAUGGCAAAGUGAAAAAUGUUGUAGGGGAUGUGGUAAAAUGGGGACACUAAUGCCCUAAUGAAUGGAGUGUUAAUUGAUCCAAAAAUUUUGGAGAGCAAUUUGGAAUUAUAUCGAGAGUUAUAAAACUAUGUAUAACUUAGACCUAGCAAUACUGUUGCUGAGUCUGUUUCCCAAGGAGAUUAGUGAAAUAGGAAAGGGACCCAUAUAUUCUAAAAUAUUUAUAGAGGAUCUCUCUUCAUGGAGGCAAAGAAACUGAGAUGGGCAUAUGCCCAUCAAUUGGGGAGCAGCUAUACAAAUUAUGUUUUAUGAUUGUGAAUGGUACAGUAAAAUACUACUGUACCUUAAGAAAUGAUGAAGAAACUGAUGUUUUAAAAUGUGGAAAGAACUAUAUAUAAGAUAAUGAACAGUGAAAUAAAUAGAACUGGGAGAAGUCCCA